UUAUGGCAAAUGAUGAAUCUUUUAAACAAAUGGGUAAUUUGCGACUGAAAACCUUUGAUGUCAAAUCACCUUGGAGAACUGAUGCCCCUU